AGAGUUUGAUCCUGGCUCAGGACAAACGCUGGCGGCGUGCUUAACACAUGCAAGUCGAACGGGCAUUCUUCGGAAUGCUAGUGGCGGACGGGUGAGUAACACGUAGAUAACCUGCCCUUAGGUGGGGAAUAACUCCUCGAAAGAGGAGCUAAUACCGCAUAAGCUCUUCCUCGAUAGGGGAAGAGGAAAGGCAGCCCUUCGGGGUUGUCGCCAAAGGAGGGGUCUGCGGCGGAUUAGCUAGAUGGUGGGGUAAAGGCCUACCAUGGCGACGAUCCGUAGCUGGUCUGAGAGGACGACCAGCCACACUGGGACUGAGACACGGCCCAGACUCCUACGGGAGGCAGCAGUGAGGAAUAUUCCACAAUGGGCGAAAGCCUGAUGGAGCGACGCCGCGUGAGGGACGAAGCCCUUUGGGGUGUAAACCUCUUUUAGAGAGGAUGAUACGCAGGGGUAACUCUGCUAAGACAGUACUCUCUGAAUAAGCCUCGGCUAACUACGUGCCAGCAGCCGCGGUAAUACGUAGGAGGCGAGCGUUGUCCGGAUUUACUGGGCGUAAAGCGCGCGCAGGCGGCAGUGCAAGUAAGGUGUGAAAUCUCCCUGCUCAACGGGGAGGGUGCACUUUAGACUGCACAGCUCGAGGUCGGUAGAGGGGGGUGGAAUUGCUGGUGUAGCGGUGAAAUGCGUAGAGAUCAGCAGGAACACCCGUGGCGAAGGCGGCCCCCUGGGCCGUACCUGACGCUGAGGCGCGAAGGCUAUGGGAGCGAACGGGAUUAGAUACCCCGGUAGUCCUAGCCGUAAACGAUGUGAACUUGGCGUUGGUGGGUUAAACUCCAUCAGUGCCGCAGCAAACGCGAUAAUUCACCGCCUGGGGAACUACGCCGCAAGGUUAAAACUCA
rnacentral:rRNA from 1 species